GUACUGAGCAGUUGCAUUGGAUUGGAUGUAAUUGCUAUAGAAACAGCCUGGAAUUUCAACUCUACGCCUGCCCCUGACCAGGCGUAGGAUUUACGCCUGGUCUUAGUGAAAAGAACGCUAAGCCCAGUUGGUGCAACCGGCGUAACGGUUAGGUUGGACUUAGAACGCCAAGUUACGACCAGGCGUAGUUACGACCAGGCUUACGCCCAGUUGGUGCAACCGGCCCCAGCUGUUCAGACUCAGGCUGUCAUCGGACGGAUGGUGACAUAAAAAAGAAAUGGAAAGACCUCCUGUCCCGGGCCAAGAAGGACGUCUGCUCUAAAGCACCAUCCCACUGGCGGUGGUCCUCCCCCGAAAACAUCACCCUAUAGUGACAUUAUCGUCGCUAUUUUCGGGGAGGAUUCACCGGCCUUCGUCGGGUUGGACGGGGUGGACAGCGGAUGUCCUCAACCGCCGGAGCAGUUGGAAGAAGACUUGGAAAGUGCCACUACCAGCUCAACACCACCACCACCGAUAGAACCAGCAGUGGCAACCCCUUCCUGUCCAUCCCCACCCCCGGCAACGAAGCGGAGGAGAAGUGAGGACCUUCAACAGGUCCUCAUGGAGAAGGAAAUUGUCCGGGUGGAGAAGGAGACCAUUAAAUUAGAGGCAGAGACCAAAAAAAUCCAAUUAGAACAAAUUAAAUUACGGCUCCAAAUUCAUUUGCUCCAGCAACAAAUUA